UACUUCAUAGCGUGACAGAUUUAUUAAUGUGGGUUAUUGUUUAAGGGUUAAAAAAUACGUGCUUUGUUUCAAGAGAUUCGUGCUUUUUUCUCGCUUUCAUUAAAUAAUUUAUGGUGUUGUUUUUUGUGCGGGGUUCGUUAUACAUUCCAUUUGUUUAAUAAAGCGAAAAAUUCAACGAUCGAUUGGAGUGUGUUUCAUAUUUCACAUACAAAUAAAGAUAGGAGUAUUUUUUAAAUAAUAAAUCAAUAGUUAUUCUACGGUGGAUGCAUAAAGGGAAUUAGUAAUGAGGGAGGCGUUGUAAUGAGUGGGCUUUACGUAAGAGUUUUACCAGAUGAUCAAAGCUUCCGUUUUCUAAAAUUAUUUAUUCAUGUGGACGGUGAUAGGUAGUUACAAUACAUUUUAAAUGUGUAAAUAGAUUGGGAUUAAAUGGUAACAGUUGGGCUGUGGGCGGAGCCAUGAACAUUCACUUGUUGGAUUUUGCUCUCGCCAGCAACUAAUAAAAUUACAGAAUAUUUUUGUGUGUUGCUUUGGGCUAGUAGGAAAAAAAAAUACAACUGAAAUAGAAACAACAAGGUAUGUUCCGGUCGUUACUCAAAUAAAAAAUAUUUGUUAAAAGAGUAUCACCAGUAAAUUGGCUGAGAAAGAUGUUGGUAAUUCGAUAUUCUUAAUACAGCUUUUAGCGGAUGAAAUUUAAGCUUGUAAGAUUUUUUUGUAGAUAAUUUAAAUACAGAGAUUAUUAUCAAAUUAUUUUGACUUUCUCCUCCCUAAUUUUUUAUGUGUUUCAGAGUAGAGUUGUUAUUUCCUGUAGUCUGAUUUCGAUGCAUAUGGUAACGGUAAGAGUGAAAUGUGAAAAAUACAAAUAAUUAAGUGAUAGUGACAGGAAACGCAUAGUGAGUGCAAUAUUUGCGCAAAGAAUGUGUUAAGUAUAUGUAUGUAAACUGCAACCUGACCGAAGUCUUACGAAAUCAUUUAAUAAGAUAGAAUUUACUCAUUUUUGUAAACUUUAUAUUUAAGGUUGUUUAUACGUAUUGCUUAUGUAACUCAUUUAUUGUAAUAUAUUAUGCAGAGCAGUUUCCAGUUUUAAGCAAAAAUCAUCUCUUGGUGUAAGAUGUUGAUUAUUUUUGAUAAGCGCUUUUAUUUUGAUGUAUUUUGUGUGACGUUGUUUGUGUGAAAACUAAAUAAAAUUAAUAAAAUUGUGCCCAAUUUUAA